rnacentral:rRNA from 1 species
CGCAUCUGUGCAUGCAGCAUAUCAAUAAGCGGAGGAAAAGAAACUAACAAGGAUUCCCUUAGUAACGGCGAGUGAAGGCGGGAAGAGCUCAAAUUUGAAAUCUUCAAGGUUUUACCUAGACGAAUUGUAGUUUAAAGAAGUGUUUUCUGUUGAAGGUUUUGGUAAAAGUUCUUUGGAAUAGGACAUCAUAGAGGGUGAGAAUCCCGUAUUUGACCAUUAUUUUCAGCUGUGUGAUACACUUUCAAAGAGUCGGAUUGUUUGGGAAUGCAGUCCAAAAUGGGUGGUAAAUUUCAUCUAAAGCUAAAUAUUGGCGAGAGACCGAUAGCGAACAAGUACCGUGAGGGAAAGAUGAAAAGAACUUUGAAAAGAGAGUUAAACAGUACGUGAAAUUGUCAAAAGGGAAGCGUUUGACACCAGUGUUGUUUUCUCGAAAAUCAAUUAAAAAGAGUUAGAUUUUGUUGUGUAUUGACCUUAACAGCUUGCAUUUCAAUUUUCUUGCUUUUUUUAAUGCACUUUUCGUUUAACAAGUCAACAUCAGUUUCUUUUGUUGUAAAAGGGUCAUUGGAAGGUGGCUUUCUCUUCGGAGAAAGUGUUUAUAGCCUUUGAUCUCUGCAAUCGGAGAGACUGAGGUCUGCAGCGUAGAUCCUUCGGGGUUAGAUACAUUUGUGCUAAGCUACUAGCUUUUCAUAGACAACUUGUUGACUAUGAUUUAGUCUUGUAGCUUACCUCGCUUAUGCUAUUUUACCUACGCUUAGGAUGUUGACGCGCGUGUGUGCGUG